GAUGAACGCUGGCGGCGUGCCUAAUACAUGCAAGUCGAGCGAACGGACGAGAAGCUUGCUUCUCUGAUGUUAGCGGCGGACGGGUGAGUAACACGUGGAUAACCUACCUAUAAGACUGGGAUAACUUCGGGAAACCGUAGCUAAUACCGGAUAAUAUUUUGAACCGCAUGGUUCAAAAGUGAAAGACGGUCUUGCUGUCACUUAUAGAUGGAUCCGCGCUGCAUUAGCUAGUUGGUAAGGUAACGGCUUACCAAGGCAACGAUGCAUAGCCGACCUGAGAGGGUGAUCGGCCACACUGGAACUGAGACACGGUCCAGACUCCUACGGGAGGCAGCAGUAGGGAAUCUUCCGCAAAGGGCGAAAGCCUGACGGAGCAACGCUGCGUGAGUGAUGAAGGUCUUCGGAUCGUAAAACUCUGUUAUUAGGGAAGAACAUAUGUGUAAGUAACUGUGCACAUCUUGACGGUACCUAAUCAGAAAGCCACGGCUAACUACGUG
rnacentral:rRNA from 1 species